GUGUGUGUUAGUGGAAGCGUCUGGAAAGGCGUGCGAUACAGGGUGACAGCCCCGUACACAAAAAUGCACAUACUGUGAGCUCGAUGAGUAGGGCGGGACACGUGGUAUCCUGUCUGAAUAUGGGGGGACCAUCCUCCAAGGCUAAAUACUCCUGACUGACCGAUAGUGAACCAGUACCGUGAGGGAAAGGCGAAAAGAACCCCGGCGAGGGGAGUGAAAAAGAACCUGAAACCGUGUACGUACAAGCAGUGGGAGCACGCUUAGGCGUGUGACUGCGUACCUUUUGUAUAAUGGGUCAGCGACUUAUAUUCUGUAGCAAGGUUAACCGAAUAGGGGAGCCGAAGGGAAACCGAGUCUUAACUGGGCGUUAAGUUGCAGGGUAUAGACCCGAAACCCGGUGAUCUAGCCAUGGGCAGGUUGAAGGUUGGGUAACACUAACUGGAGGACCGAACCGACUAAUGUUGAAAAAUUAGCGGAUGACUUGUGGCUGGGGGUGAAAGGCCAAUCAAACCGGGAGAUAGCUGGUUCUCCCCGAAAGCUAUUUAGGUAGCGCCUCGUGAAUUCAUCUCCGGGGGUAGAGCACUGUUUCGGCAAGGGGGUCAUCCCGACUUACCAACCCGAUGCAAACUGCGAAUACCGGAGAAUGUUAUCACGGGAGACACACGGCGGGUGCUAACGUCCGUCGUGAAGAGGGAAACAACCCAGACCGCCAGCUAAGGUCCCAAAGUCAUGGUUAAGUGGGAAACGAUGUGGGAAGGCCCAGACAGCCAGGAUGUUGGCUUAGAAGCAGCCAUCAUUUAAAGAAAGCGUAAUAGCUCACUGGUCGAGUCGGCCUGCGCGGAAGAUGUAACGGGGCUAAACCAUGCACCGAAGCUGCGGCAGCGACGCUUAUGCGUUGUUGGGUAGGGGAGCGUUCUGUAAGCCUGUGAAGGUGUGCUGUGAGGUAUGCUGGAGGUAUCAGAAGUGCGAAUGCUGACAUAAGUAACGAUAAAGCGGGUGAAAAGCCCGCUCGCCGGAAGACCAAGGGUUCCUGUCCAACGUUAAUCGGGGCAGGGUGAGUCGACCCCUAAGGCGAGGCCGAAAGGCGUAGUCGAUGGGAAACAGGUUAAUAUUCCUGUACUUGGUGUUACUGCGAAGGGGGGACGGAGAAGGCUAUGUUGGCCGGGCGACGGUUGUCCCGGUUUAAGCGUGUAGGCUGGUUUUCCAGGCAAAUCCGGAAAAUCAAGGCCGAGGCGUGAUGACGAGGCACUACGGUGCUGAAGCAACAAAUGCCCUGCUUCCAGGAAAAGCCUCUAAGCAUCAGGUAACAUCAAAUCGUACCCCAAACCGACACAGGUGGUCAGGUAGAGAAUACCAAGGCGCUUGAGAGAACUCGGGUGAAGGAACUAGGCAAAAUGGUGCCGUAACUUCGGGAGAAGGCACGCUGAUACGUAGGUGAAGCGACUUGCUCGUGGAGCUGAAAUCAGUCGAAGAUACCAGCUGGCUGCAACUGUUUAUUAAAAACACAGCACUGUGCAAACACGAAAGUGGACGUAUACGGUGUGACGCCUGCCCGGUGCCGGAAGGUUAAUUGAUGGGGUUAGCGCAAGCGAAGCUCUUGAUCGAAGCCCCGGUAAACGGCGGCCGUAACUAUAACGGUCCUAAGGUAGCGAAAUUCCUUGUCGGGUAAGUUCCGACCUGCACGAAUGGCGUAAUGAUGGCCAGGCUGUCUCCACCCGAGACUCAGUGAAAUUGAACUCGCUGUGAAGAUGCAGUGUACCCGCGGCAAGACGGAAAGACCCCGUGAACCUUUACUAUAGCUUGACACUGAACAUUGAGCCUUGAUGUGUAGGAUAGGUGGGAGGCUUUGAAGUGUGGACGCCAGUCUGCAUGGAGCCGACCUUGAAAUACCACCCUUUAAUGUUUGAUGUUCUAACGUGGACCCGUGAUCCGGGUUGCGGACAGUGUCUGGUGGGUAGUUUGACUGGGGCGGUCUCCUCCUAAAGAGUAACGGAGGAGCACGAAGGUUGGCUAAUCCUGGUCGGACAUCAGGAGGUUAGUGCAAUGGCAUAAGCCAGCUUGACUGCGAGCGUGACGGCGCGAGCAGGUGCGAAAGCAGGUCAUAGUGAUCCGGUGGUUCUGAAUGGAAGGGCCAUCGCUCAACGGAUAAAAGGUACUCCGGGGAUAACAGGCUGAUACCGCCCAAGAGUUCAUAUCGACGGCGGUGUUUGGCACCUCGAUGUCGGCUCAUCACAUCCUGGGGCUGAAGUAGGUCCCAAGGGUAUGGCUGUUCGCCAUUUAAAGUGGUACGCGAGCUGGGUUUAGAACGUCGUGAGACAGUUCGGUCCCUAUCUGCCGUGGGCGCUGGAGAACUGAGGGGGGCUGCUCCUAGUACGAGAGGACCGGAGUGGACGCAUCACUGGUGUUCGGGUUGUCAUGCCAAUGGCACUGCCCGGUAGCUAAAUGCGGAAGAGAUAAGUGCUGAAAGCAUCUAAGCACGAAACUUGCCCCGAGAUGAGUUCUCCCUGACCCUUUAAGGGUCCUGAAGGAACGUUGAAGACGACGACGUUGAUAGGCCGGGUGUGUAAGCGCAGCGAUGCGUUGAGCUAACCGGUACUAAUGAACCGUGAGGCUUAACCUUACAACGCCGAAG
rnacentral:rRNA from 2 species